GACGAACGCUGGCGGCGUGCCUAAUACAUGCAAGUCGAGCGAACUUGCGGGAGCUUGCUCCCAAAAGUUAGCGGCGGACGGGUGAGUAACACGUGGGCAACCUGCCUAUAAGACUGGGAUAACUUCGGGAAACCGGAGCUAAUACCGGAUAAUUCUUUUCUACACAUGUAGAAAAGCUGAAAGACGGUUUACGCUGUCACUUAUCGAUGGGCCAGCGGCGCAUUAGCUAGUUGGUGAGGUAACGGCUCACCAAGGCCACAAUGCGUAGCCGAUCGGAGAGGGUGAUCGGCCAGACUGGGACUGAAACACGGCCCAGACUCCUACGGGAGGCAGCAGUAGGGAAUCUUCCGCAAUGGACGAAAGUAUGACGGAGCAACGCCGCGUGAGUGAUGAAGGUUUUCGGAUCGUAAAACUCUGUUGUUAGGGAAGAACAAGUACGAGAGUAACUGCUCGUACCUUGACGGUACCUAACCAGAAAGCCACGGCUAACUACGUGCCAGCCGCCGCAGUAA
rnacentral:rRNA from 1 species